AGAAAUAUGUCUGAAAAAGAGUUACUUUGA
rnacentral:tRNA from 1 species